CAGGGUUGGCUCCUUCUCUCCCUCUGUCCAUCUCCUCCCUGCGCCAUGGCCCUGUGCGCUCUGCCUCUCUGUCUCCUGGGGCUGUUCCUGGCAGGUUCUUGUGCCCAGCAUGUGGUGACGCAGCCUCCCUCAAUGUCAGCGUCUCCAGGGCAGACAGUGAAACUCUCGUGCAGCGUCAGUGGAGGAUACGACAUCAGUAGCUAUGGAGUGAGGUGGUACCAACAGACCCCCGGGAAUCCUCCCAGAUACCUGCUCUAUUAUUACAGUGAUUCUAGCACAGGCAGGGGCUCUGGGGUCCCGGACCGGUUCUCUGGCUCUGCCUCCGGCAGUGUUGGCUACUUAACCAUCUCUGGGCUCCAAGCCGAGGAUGACGCUGAUUAUUACUGUGCGACUUGGGACGACAACGCUGAGAUGCUCACAGUGGUGUAA